rnacentral:rRNA from 1 species
AUACGUAGGGUGCGAGCGUUGUCCGGAAUUACUGGGCGUAAAGAGCUCGUAGGUGGUUUGUCGCGUCGUCUGUGAAAUUCCGGGGCUUAACUCCGGGCGUGCAGGCGAUACGGGCAUAACUUGAGUACUGUAGGGGAGACUGGAAUUCCUGGUGUAGCGGUGAAAUGCGCAGAUAUCAGGAGGAACACCGGUGGCGAAGGCGGGUCUCUGGGCAGUAACUGACGCUGAGGAGCGAAAGCAUGGGUAGCGAACAGGAUUAGAUACCCUGGUAGUCCAUGCCGUAAACGGUGGGCGCUAGGUGUAGGGGUCUUCCACGACUUCUGUGCCGUAGUUAACGCAUUAAGCGCCCCGCCUGGGGAGUACGGCCGCAAGGCUAAAACUCAAAUGAAUUGACGGGG